rnacentral:lncRNA from 1 species
CUCGUUUUUUUAUAUAGAUUAGACCGUUGGUUUUCCCGUUUGAAUGGUUUUACACUAGUAAUUUUGGGGCCCUUUAUAGCUUGUUGUUCGGUGUGAGCCAAGGCUCCAUGUUGAAGGCCGUACAUUGACCUAUAAUGGUUUACCUUUUUUUAAAUUGUUAUUUGGAUGGAGAGUUGUCUCAUUGGCACUCACACCACAUCUUCCUAUAUCUAU